GGGGAAUAUUGGACAAUGGGCGCAAGCCUGAUCCAGCCAUGCCGCGUGGGUGAAGAAGGCCUUCGGGUUGUAAAGCCCUUUUGUUGGGAAAGAAAAGCAGCCGGCCAAUACCCGGUUGUUCUGACGGUACCCAAAGAAUAAGCACCGGCUAACUUCGUGCCAGCAGCCGCGGUAAUACGAAGGGUGCAAGCGUUACUCGGAAUUACUGGGCGUAAAGCGUGCGCAGGCGGUUUUGUAAGACAGGCGUGAAAUCCCCGGGCUCAACCUGGGAACUGCGCUUGUGACUGCAAGACUAGAGUGUGGCAGAGGGUAGUGGAAUUCCUGGUGUAGCAGUGAAAUGCGUAGAGAUCAGGAGGAACAUCCGUGGCGAAGGCGACUGCCUGGGCCAACACUGACACUGAGGCACGAAAGCGUGGGGAGCAAACA
rnacentral:rRNA from 1 species